rnacentral:rRNA from 1 species
UACCUGCAGCCCGAGUGGUGGCCGUUAUUAUUGGGCCUAAAGCGUGCGUAGCCGGCUGAGUAGAUGCCUGUGUAAAUCGAACGGCUUAACCGUUCGAACUGCGGGUAGACCGCUCAGCUUGGGACCGGGAGAGUCACGAAGUACUCCGGGGGUAGAGGUGAAAUGCGCAGAUAUCAGGAGGAACACCGGUGGCGAAGGCGGGUCUCUGGGCAACAACUGACGCUGAGGAGCGAAAGCGUGGGGAGCGAACAGG